ensembl:lncRNA
AAGAAAGCUCUAUUCUUCUCUCUUGGCCUCUGGCUUGAGGUUAGUGGUAGUGACAUAAGGCUCAAAUUCAGGCAUGUGGGUAUGAAGAUGCCUAAAAGAGGGGGUGCGGAAAUUGGAGUGAAGAAUUGACUCAAGAAUCAUAGCUCAGAGAAUUCAUUUCAGUUUUCUCCCAAAUCUUCUGGCUGCAUAUUCUUCUAAAGGGGCUCAUGUCAAACUGAAAGAGAAAGUAAAUCAGGCAAGGAAACCUCUGUGGUUUUUUCCUUUUUACUACAAUAACACUCAAAUGGAUUCCAUCUGGUCUACCAUUUGUGCACCUGUUCGCAGUUCCCUCCAUUCCGUUGACUCUUUGUGACCCCAUGGACUGCAGCACGCCAGGCUUCCCUGUCCUGCACCAUCUCCUGGAACUUGGUCUAACUCGUGUCCAUUGAGUCGGUGAUGCCAUCCAACCAUCUUGUCCUCUGCUGUCCCCUUCUCCUUCAAAGUUUCCCAGCAUCAGGGUCUUUUCUAAUGAGUUAGCUCUUUGCAUCCGAUGGCC